rnacentral:rRNA from 1 species
AUGUCUUCCUCCGGCUCCUCCCAGAUCGGCCUCAACAACCAGGUUACGGAGAAGCUCACCCGUACGAACUACGUACUGUGGCGAGUCCAGAUCACGCCGCAGCUAAGGGGAGCUGGCGUCUUCGGCUAUGCCGAUGGCAGCACGCCGGAGCCGGCCCGUUUCCUUCCUGGAAAGGACAAGGACGGCAAGGACUCCACCGAGCCCAACCCUCUCCACCCAAUAUGGGUCUGGGAGGAUCAACAAGUUCUCGGUUAUCUGCUCAACAAUCUCUCCAAAGAGGUGUUGGUGCAGGUGACCGUGAUCACCACGACGCACGUGCUCUGGACAACGCUAGCGGCCAUGUUCUCCUUGCAGUCGCUUAGCCGCAUCAACAACAUCCAUACGGCUCUGCUUCAUGCGCAGAAGGGAACCCAGCCGGUCGCCACUUUCUUCGCCCACAUGCGCGGCUUCGCCGAUGAACUCGCCGCGGCCGGCAAGCCGCUGCAAGACGACGAGAUCGUCUCCUACAUCCUUCACGCGCUGGACAUGGAGUACCAGCCUCUGGUGUCGGCCCUCGAUGCUCGCACCUCUCCCGUCACCCUGGAUGAGCUGUUCACCAUGCUCAGCAAUUUUGACCAGCGCAUGGCGCUCUACCAGGGGGCGGGUGGCUUCAAGUCAUCCGCUAAUGCUGCCUCUCGUGGCCGCGGUGGCCGCCGCGGCGGAGCUUCACGCGGCAAGUCCCGAUCUGGUGGCGGCGGCAACUCCUCCAACAACACCCGCGCUGGACGUUCCCCCUCCACCAACCCGAAGGGACGCGGCGGCGGUGGCGGCCAUGGCUCCAACAGAGCACACCCGGAUGCGCCGCGAUGCCAGAUCUGCGGCAAGCUCGGGCACAACACUCGGGACUGCUGGUACCGUUACGAUGACGAUGAUGACUCCUCCCAGGACGAGGACAAGGUGGCUGCUGCCGCGGAUGGCUCCUACGGCGUCGACACUAAUUGGUAUGUCGAUAGUGGGGCCACCGAACACAUCACCAGCGAGCUCGAGAAGGUGACCACACGGGAGAAAUACCGCGGCAAGGACCAAAUCCACACAGCUAGUGGUGCAGGAUCAGGCAACGAAGAAAGUACUUUAUCGAGGUAG